rnacentral:rRNA from 1 species
AAUGCAGUCGAGCGAAUGGAUUAAGAGCUUGCUCUUAUGAAGUUAGCGGCGGACGGGUGAGUAACACGUGGGUAACCUGCCCAUAAGACUGGGAUAACUCCGGGAAACCGGGGCUAAUACCGGAUAACAUUUUGAACCGCAUGGUUCGAAAUUGAAAGGCGGCUUCGGCUGUCACUUAUGGAUGGACCCGCGUCGCAUUAGCUAGUUGGUGAGGUAACGGCUCACCAAGGCAACGAUGCGUAGCCGACCUGAGAGGGUGAUCGGCCACACUGGGACUGAGACACGGCCCAGACUCCUACGGGAGGCAGCAGUAGGGAAUCUUCCGCAAUGGACGAAAGUCUGACGGAGCAACGCCGCGUGAGUGAUGAAGGCUUUCGGGUCGUAAAACUCUGUUGUUAGGGAAGAACAAGUGCUAGUUGAAUAAGCUGGCACCUUGACGGUACCUAACCAGAAAGCCACGGCUAACUACGUGCCAGCAGCCGCGGUAAUACGUAGGUGGCAAGCGUUAUCCGGAAUUAUUGGGCGUAAAGCGCGCGCAGGUGGUUUCUUAAGUCUGAUGUGAAAGCCCACGGCUCAACCGUGGAGGGUCAUUGGAAACUGGGAGACUUGAGUGCAGAAGAGGAAAGUGGAAUUCCAUGUGUAGCGGUGAAAUGCGUAGAGAUAUGGAGGAACACCAGUGGCGAAGGCGACUUUCUGGUCUGUAACUGACACUGAGGCGCGAAAGCGUGGGGGAGCAAACAGGAUUAGAUACCCUGGUAGUCCACGCCGUAAACGAUGAGUGCUAAGUGUUAGAGGGUUUCCGCCCUUUAGUGCUGAAGUUAACGCAUUAAGCACUCCGCCUGGGGAGUACGGCCGCAAGGCUGAAACUCAAGGAAUUGACGGGGGCCCGCACAAGCGGUGGA